rnacentral:lncRNA from 1 species
UAAGGAAAGUGUGGGACAAAGGUAGUGGGUACAUGCUGGUAAGCAGGUUCACCCUGACAAAGGCUUAGUGGGUAGACUCACAGGUGGGAAUUUGGCAACAAAGAGAUAAUUUGGGAGACUUUGCAAUAGUUUAGGCAAGAAAUGGAAGAUGAAAUAAAUCUAGAUGGAUAGGUAACAAGAUCAGUUUUAGAUUUAGAUUGGGGUGUGUGUUGGGUUUCCAAGAAGAGACAAAUAGGCAUCAAGGGAAAGCUCUGGAUUAGAAUUGUAGCUUUGGGAUCUAUCAGUAUAUAACUGAUAGCCAUAUAUAUGGAUGAGAUCAUUUAGUGAGGGAAGAAAGGAUAGAAUAUUGGGAAACAACAUUUAAGGUGUAAUAGAUAAAAAGAACUCUAAGAUGAAAAAUAUAAGAAGGCAGGAAUGGAAGGUAAAGAGAAUAGAUUUAUGGAAGUGAAGGCGGAAAUAAGUAGUCAACAUGACAAUAUAUGAAGAUUUUUUCUUUUAAUAAACUUCUCUAUAUUACCAGAAUCUAGCAUAGAACCUGGCACUGAGUGGGUGUUAACAUAUAUCUUUGAAACUGAACUUACCAAGUACACUUUGUCAUCACUACAAUAUUAUUGGUCAGAGAAAAUCCUCAAUCACACAGGCAAAUUCCAUCUGAUUUGGUCAAAUAAGAAGGAAUUUUAUUUUACUUUAUCUGUAAAAGGAG